rnacentral:lncRNA from 1 species
AUGGCUGCAUUCACAUGGAUUCAAAUGUCUUCUUUACUGAUACUGAUGCUUCAGUUUAACGGAACAGCCGAGCAAUAUUCACCUGUUUACGCUGUCAGAGCUGAACAUGACGUUACUUUGCCUUGUAAAAAUUUGAUACAUAAUAAAUGUAAAAGUACUACCUGGCUGUUCAGUGAUUCAGGAAGCACAAGAACACUCUUUGAAAAUGGGCAGAUUCACAAAGAUACCCAGACUAAAUCAGACAGACUGACUGUUAAAAAUAAAAACUGUUCUCUGGUUAUAAAGAAGGUCUCAGUUGAGGAUGUUGGUCGUUACACCUGCAGAAAGUUCAACAAAUCAGGACAACAACAAGGUCCAGACAUUCAGGCUGAUCUGACUGUUAUCAGCAUCACUAAACAUGAGAACCAUGGCGACGUCAUGUUGAACUGCUCUGUAUUUGCCUAUGGACACUGUGGGCACAAAGUGGAGUGGCUGUAUGAGGAUGAAAAGAAAAUAUCAGACAUGAAGAUCUCGGCAGGUCGAUGCACUUCUACUGUGACAUUUACAAGAUCUGACCUGUCCAAGUUUUCUAAGCUGUUAAAGUGUAAUGUAACAGAUACUUCCACCAAAAAUGUGACAAUCUUUCCCUUCAAACCUCAAAAGUCUUCAGAUAAAGAUGCAAAUAAGACAAAAUCCACAAUGGCAUCAACUUCCACCACAACAGCAAAUUUAAUGCCAACACUGAAAACAUCAUUGUCAUCAACAAUAUCAUCAACAUCGUCAACAGCAGCAUCAUCAACAAUAAUAUCAUCAACACUGUCAUCAAUAUUGUCAUCAGUAUUGUCAACAACAGGAUCAUCAACAUCAAUGGAAGUAAAGACAUCAGCAGUGACACCGGUGUAUCAGAAAGCAUCAGGAAAUCAGUUAUGGUUUAUUAUUGUUCCUGUGGGAUUAGCAGGACUCUUAAUAACUGCUGUGGUAGUCACCAGAUGGAAGAAAAAUGCAGAAAACCAGAAACUUCUGUCUGACAGCACUGAUGAAGCUGAGAAUGAUGUUUCAUACGUCACCAUCAGCUUCACCAAGAAGGCCCAAAACAAAGCCCAGGCACGUUGUGGUGAUGAUGAAGGUGACACUGUGACCUACAGCACUGUGAAAGCUUCCUCUUCAUCUGCUGGCGGUUUUACAGAUUCAAGCAACCUUUAUUCCACCAUUAAUAAACUAAAGAAAGAAAAUAAAUAG